rnacentral:rRNA from 1 species
GAGUCAUCGAAUCUUUGAACGCACCUUGCGCCCCUUGGUAUUCCGAGGGGUGCACCCGUUUGAGUGUCGUGAACACCCUCAACCUUCUUGGUUUAUCGACCGGGAAGGCUUGGACUUUGGAGGUUUUUGUUGCUGGCCUCGUUUGAAGCCAGCUCCUCCUAAACGAAUUAGUGGGGUCCGCCGUGCCGACCCUCGACGUGAUAAGUACGCUUCUACGUCUUGGGGUUUCGCACUGUCGCCUGCUUCCAACCGUCUUUGAAUGAAGACAAUCUUAUAGACCUUGACCUCAAAUCGGGUGAGACUACCCGCUGAACUUAAGCAUAUCAAUAAGCGGAGG